GAAAGGUGAAGGACUUACUCUUUCGGAGUGAGAGCGUACACAGGUGCUGCAUGGCUGUCGUCAGCUCGUGUCGUGAGAUGUUGGGUUAAGUCCCGCAACGAGCGCAACCCUGCAUUCAGUUGCCAUCGGUAAGGCCGGGCACUCUGGAUGGACUGCCGGCGACAAGCCGGAGGAAGGUGGGGACGACGUCAAGUCAUCAUGGCCCUUAUGUCCAGGGCGACACACGUGCUACAAUGGCCGGCACAACGGGAAGCGAAGGGGCGACCCUGAGCGGAUCCCCAUAAAAGCCGGUCCCAGUUCGGAUUGCAGUCUGCAACUCGACUGCAUGAAGUUGGAAUCGCUAGUAAUCGUGGAUCAGCCAAGCCGCGGUGAAUACGUUCCCGGGCCUU
rnacentral:rRNA from 1 species